GGCUCAGGAUGAACGCUGGCGGCGUGCUUAACACAUGCAAGUCGAACGAAGCACUUUGAUCGAUUUCUUCGGAUUGAAAUUUUAGUGACUGAGUGGCGGACGGGUGAGUAACGCGUGGGUAACCUGCCUCACACAGGGGGAUAACAGUUGGAAACGGCUGCUAAUACCGCAUAAGCGCACAGUACCGCAUGGUACAGUGUGAAAAACUCCGGUGGUGUGAGAUGGACCCGCGUCUGAUUAGCUAGUUGGCAGGGUAACGGCCUACCAAGGCGACGAUCAGUAGCCGACCUGAGAGGGUGACCGGCCACAUUGGGACUGAGACACGGCCCAAACUCCUACGGGAGGCAGCAGUGGGGAAUAUUGCACAAUGGGGGAAACCCUGAUGCAGCGACGCCGCGUGAGCGAAGAAGUAUUUCGGUAUGUAAAGCUCUAUCAGCAGGGAAGAAGAAAUGACGGUACCUGACUAAGAAGCACCGGCUAAAUACGUG
rnacentral:rRNA from 1 species